CGAAUAAAGCUUGGUGUCAUUGAUGAUUCUGACUGUGCAUGUUAUGUAGUCUUUGACAAUGAGGCAAAACAAGUUUUGGAAGAGAGCUGUGUAGAGAUACUUGAUCCACUCCUAUUGGAUGUUGACUACACCGGUGCUUUGUUUCUAAUUUCAAAGACAUCCUCAAUCAUUGAAGGGGAGAAAGUAGAAGGUACUAAGAAUUUGUUGCUUGAAUUCUCCAUUGAAGUUGCGGCCAAUGAUGAAUCUGAAUUGUUGGAAAGUGUUAUUACACCAACUAAGUGACUAUCCUCGGAGUCGGAAGAUUCGAAGGUGGAAGGAGAUACCUCAACUUGCAAGAAGAUCAAGAUUGAGAAAGAAACUUGAGAAUUUGGAUGCACAUGUUUUGGAAUCUCUUUUAGAGUCUAUCUAAUAGAAUAAUGC